CCUACGGGAGGCAGCAGUCGGGAAUAUUGCGCAAUGGAGGAAACUCUGACGCAGUGACGCCGCGUAUGGGAAGAAGGUUUUCGGAUUGUAAACCAUUGUCGUUAGGGAAGAAGAAGUGACAGUACCUAAGGAGGAAGCUCCGGCUAACUAUGUGCCAGCAGCCGCGGUAAUACGUAGGUGGCGAGCGUUAUCCGGAAUGAUUGGGCGUAAAGGGUGCGUAGGCGGCCUGCUAAGUCUGGAGUGAAAGGUACCGGCUCAACCGGUACAGGCUCUGGAAACUGGCGGGCUAGAGAGCAGGAGAGGGG
rnacentral:rRNA from 1 species